rnacentral:lncRNA from 1 species
GAAGCAUUUACAACACCAAGGGCGAUGUCGAGAUAAGUGGGGAGAAGAUCAAGAAGGAAAAGAGAAGGCCAUGGCCAUGUUCAAGGCUAUUGAGGCUUACCUCCACUCAAAUUCUGAUGCUUGAAAGCUCUAUACAUAAAGUUUUAUAUCUUGUCAUAUUUUGGUUUCUUGUUCAUUUUAUGUUUGGGAUUUGCCCUUUUUGGGUGUGAGUGAGUUGUGAUAUAUAGCUGUGAUUUUCUCUUCAUAGGGUGUUUCUUUGUAUCUUUCUGGUCUUGUUCAAGUAU